rnacentral:lncRNA from 1 species
UUUCAGUUGGGUGUUCAGGGACGAACUUUCUGAGGACGGGUCACAGAAAUGUGGUUGGAAAGAAGAGAAGGACCUAAAGUGGAACAUUCCAGGUUCCACACCCAGUGCAGAGCCCAUUGUGCGGCUUGCCCUCAUGACCCUGAGAUCAAGACUUGAGCUGAAAACGAUCAUCAGACACUUAACUGACUGAGCCACCCGGACUACAUGCUUUUUUCUACUUUUAUCUACCCUUGGGCAUGGAUGUGCUCUGAG